rnacentral:rRNA from 1 species
GGUCAAGCUACAAAGGGCGCAUGGUGAAUGCCUUGGCAUCAGGAGCCGAUGAAGGACGUGAUAAGCUGCGAUAAGCUUCGGGUAGGCGCACAUAGCCUGAGAUCCGAAGAUCUCCGAAUGAGGAAACUCACAUGGGAAACCCCAUGUAUCAUUAAGUGAAUACAUAGCUUAAUGAAGGUAACCCAGGGAACUGAAACAUCUAAGUACCUGGAGGAAGAGAAAGAAAAAUCGAUUUUCUUAGUAGCGGCGAGCGAAAGGGAAAGAGCCCAAACCGGAAACUUGUUUCCGGGGUUGUGGACAUAACAUAAAAGUGGAGGCUAUUGUAACUGAAGAGAACUGGAAAGUUCCACCGUAGAAGGUAAUAGUCCUGUAAGUGAAACGAGAAGACCACGAGUUAUGAUCCAGAGUACCACGAGACACGUGAAACCUUGUGGGAAGCAGGGAGGACCACCUCCCAAGGCUAAAUACUACCUGAUGACCGAUAGUGAAGCAGUACCGUGAGGGAAAGGUGAAAAGAACCCCGGGAGGGGAGUGAAAUAGAACCUGAAACCGUGUGCCUACAACCGCUCAGAGCCCCUUAUGAGGGUGAUGAGGUGCUUUUUGUAGAACGAGCCAACGAGUUACGGUAUGUAGCAAGGUUAAGUACUUAAGGUACGGAGCCGAAGGGAAACCGAGUCUGAAUAGGGCGACUAGUUGCAUGCCGUAGACCCGAAACCGGGUGACCUAUCCAUGGCCAGGUUGAAGCGAGGGUAAAACCUCGUGGAGGACCGAACCACGUUGCUGUUGAAAAAGCAUGGGAUGAGCUGUGGAUAGCGGAGAAAUUCCAAUCGAACCCGGAGAUAGCUGGUUCUCUCCGAAAUAGCUUUAGGGCUAGCGUCGAGUAUGAGUAGUGGAGGUAGAGCACUGAAUGGGCUAGGGGGCAUAGCGCUUACCGAACCUUAUCAAACUCCGAAUGCCACAUACUUUGAGCUCGGCAGUCAGACUACGAAUGAUAAGAUCCGUGGUCAAAAGGGAAACAGCCCAGAUCGUCAGCUAAGGUCCCAAAGUGUAAGUUAAGUGGGAAAGGAUGUGAGAUUUCUAAGACAACUAGGAUGUUGGCUUAGAAGCAGCCAUUCAUUAAAAGAGUGCGUAAUAGCUCACUAGUCGAGAGAUCUUGCGCCGAAAAUGUAACGGGGCUAAACUUACCACCGAAGCUACGGGCUUGAACUUAGUUCAAGCGGUAGGAGAGCGUCGUAACCGGGCUGAAGUCGUACCGUAAGGAGCGGUGGACUGGUUACGAGUGAGAAUGUUGGCAUCAGUAGCGAGAUGUGGGUGAGAAUCCCACAGGCCGAAAACCUAAGGUUUCCUCAGGAAGGUUCGUCCGCUGAGGGUUAGUCGGGACCUAAGCCGAGGCCGAAAGGCGUAGGUGAUGGACAACUGGUUGAUAUUCCAGUACCACUACCAUCGUUAUUAUCGAUGGCGUGACGCAGGAGGAUAGUGUGUGCUAGCUAUUGGAUGCUAGUCUAAGCGUUUAGGCAGUGAGAGUAGGCAAAUCCGCUCUCAUAAUGCUGAGGCGUGAUGGGGAAGGUUCUACGGAACCGAAGUACAUGAUUCCACGCUGCCAAGAAAAGCGUCUAGAGAGAGAAGUAGUGCCCGUACCGCAAACCGACACAGGUAGGUGAGGAGAGAAUCCUAAGGCCGGCGGAAGAAUUACAGUUAAGGAACUCGGCAAAUUGACCCCGUAAGUUCGCGAGAAGGGGUGCCUACGAGAGUAGGCCGCAGAGAAUAGGCCCAAGCAACUGUUUAGCAAAAACACAGGUCUCUGCUAAAGCGUAAGCUGAUGUAUAGGGGCUGACGCCUGCCCGGUGCUGGAAGGUUAAGGGGAACACUUAGCGCAAGCGAAGGUGUGAACUUAAGCCCCAGUAAACGGCGGCCGUAACUAUAACGGUCCUAAGGUAGCGAAAUUCCUUGUCAGGUAAGUUCUGACCCGCACGAAUGGCGUAAUGACUUGGGCACUGUCUCAACUGUAAAUCCGGCGAAGUUGUAGUGCGAGUGAAGAUGCUCGCUACCCGCGAUUGGACGGAAAGACCCCGUAGAGCUUUACUGUAGCUUAGCAUUGAGUUUUGGUAUUGUCUGUACAGGAUAGGUGGGAGACUAGGAAACUAGGGCGUCAGCCUUGGUGGAGUCAACCUUGGGAUACCACCCUGACAGUACUGAAAUUCUAACUGGCGGCCAUGAAUCUGGUCACAGGACAUUGUUAGGUGGGCAGUUUGACUGGGGCGGUCGCCUCCUAAAAAGUAACGGAGGCGCCCAAAGGUUCCCUCAGAACGGUCGGAAAUCGUUCGAAGAGUGCAAAGGCAGAAGGGAGCCUGACUGCGACACCCACAAGUGGAGCAGGGACGAAAGUCGGGCUUAGUGAUCCGGUGGUACCUCGUGGGAGGGCCAUCGCUCAACGGAUAAAAGCUACCUCGGGGAUAACAGGCUGAUCUCCCCCAAGAGUCCACAUCGACGGGGAGGUUUGGCACCUCGAUGUCGGCUCGUCGCAUCCUGGGGCUGAAGUAGGUCCCAAGGGUUGGGCUGUUCGCCCAUUAAAGCGGCACGCGAGCUGGGUUCAGAACGUCGUGAGACAGUUCGGUCCCUAUCCGUCGCGGGCGUAGGAAAUUUGAGAGGAGCUGUCCUUAGUACGAGAGGACCGGGAUGGACUGACCUCUGGUGUACCAGUUGUUCCGCCAGGAGCACAGCUGGGUAGCUAAGUCGGGAAUGGAUAAACGCUGAAAGCAUCUAAGCGUGAAGCCAACCUCAAGAUGAGAUUUCCCAUAGCAUAAGCUAGUAAGAUCCCUUGAAGAACACAAGGUUGAUAGGUCGGGGGUGUAAGCAUGGUAACAUGUUCAGCUGACCGAUACUAAUAGAUCGAGGGCUUGACCAA